rnacentral:misc_RNA from 1 species
CCGGUCGCCAUGUUAUUUCACAUUUCAUUUCUUCGCAACGCUUCCUACGCAGUGUGUUAUUUCUGAAGUGAAAUUAACUUCUAUCUUGAUUACUUGCUUUGUUUGUUGUAUUGAAGCAAGUGAAUAGUUAUUUUGUGAAUUAUUUGUGUGAUAAUAUCUCGACCAUCAUGAGUUACGGGAGACCACCGCCUCGUAUUGAUGGCAUGGUGUCGCUGAAAGUGGACAAUCUCACAUACCGAACGACGCCAGAAGAUUUGCGCAGAGUAUUCGAAAGAUGUGGCGAUGUUGGCGACAUAUACAUCCCAAGAGAUCGCUACACCAGAGAAAGCAGAGGUUUCGCUUUUGUAAGGUUCUUUGAUCGUCGGGACGCAGAGGAAGCGCUGGAUUCUCUAGACGGGCGCAUGUUGGAUGGCAGGGAGCUCCGCGUUCAGAUGGCCCGUUACGGACGCCCUUCAUCUCCAUACAGAAGUCGUUACGACCGUCGACGCAGCAAAUCCCGUGGUCGAUCCAGGUCGCGUUCUCGUUCCCGCCGCCGCUCGUACUCGCGCAGCCGCUCCAGGUCCCGCAGCCGCAGCCGCUCGGACUCCAAGAGCUCCCGGGGACGCUCCCGCAGCCGCAGCCAUUCUCGCUCCAGAUCCAGGCAUUGAUGUGCUAAGUUGAGACAGUACCUGUUGCAAGCUGAAGUGCUGUGCCUCUUGCCCCAGCAGCCUUCGGCUAAGGGCGUGUGGAGAGCGCGGGGAGCGAGGCGGUAUGCCGGGGGGGGGAGGGGUUUGCUGAUGCUGACAACUGCUGAAUUGCUGUUGUUGCCGUUCAUAAGUUAUGAGUAAAAUUUUAUAUUUAUUGACAAACCAAGACAUGCAUAAAUAAGUAGGUUUAAAAAGGUACAAUUCGCUAACAAAAUUAGUGACCAAAGUAAAUAACACAUUUUAAAUUGAAAUAUACAUUACACUUAAGAUUUAACUGUAAUUGGACGCGGCGAAGUGCCAAUAUUCUUUCAACACACAGUAGGUGGUAAUGGCGACAUCUCAGUUACUAAUACCAACAUUUGUUUGGCAGGCCGGUGCUGCCGCUGGCCUGUUGCUGUGGCAGUUUGCUGUGCUGAUCCCUGUGCUUUGCAGAUCACGUCUAGGUUUGUCUGUAAGCGGUUGACCCUCCCCGACCUCAAACGACGUAAAAGUACAUUUUCAGGGUAGCAAUCACGGAAGCGUUUUAGAUACUUUUCAAAUAUAUAGUUUAGCAGCGUAACUGAUUAAUUCCACGAAGAUUCGUCGUGAACACCUGGCACUGGAUUAUGUGUAGGUUUUAUUCUUAAUAAAUAAAUGUGACAAAAUAA